rnacentral:tRNA from 1 species
GUGGCUAUAGCUCAGUUGGUAGAGCCCCGGAUUGUGAUUCCGGUUGUCGU